UGUUUGCAGGAGAAUUGCAGCCAGCAGCAGAAGUCCGAUAUACUGCAUGGUGUGUGAGCUUGACAUGCUGACCAUUGCGUGUGUUACUGCAGCUCGAGACAAAAGCUGGGGCAGAAUUCCUUCUCUACAUAUGAAAAAAACAUGGAGGCGGGGCACCGCUUGACUAUCAAGGAAACGAAGUGCAGAACGAAACUGUUGAAGUGAAUGGUGUAAACAUCUCUGUUUGACUUCCAUGGAAGACAUAUCUGAAAACAACAUGAAGCCAGCUGCGUUCAACUGCGGUCUCUGAAGGCCAUGGUGUUGACAUGUCCUGCUCUGGAUCGCAGGCAACCUUAACAAUGCAACGAGCGGCACUGUGGAUCUGAGCAUAUCUGGCACAGACCUGGUGGAAGGGAGAAGGAGGAACACAAAGAAGGAAAAAAAAGAAACACGACGGCAGGCGACCAGUGGACGGGCCGGAAACUUGGGAUUUUCCAGCAGAAGUGAAUGCAAAGUGUAGAUUGGGCGGGUUUGUUUUAGCUGACGCCAGGAAAAGCUGCAGCCAAAGAGUGACAAACUCAACACUUAUGGUGACCCUGUCGCAUUUAUACAUAAGCAGAACGAUCUGA